AAUCAGGUGCGGGCGGCUGGAGCAUGGCUUUGUGAGGCCUCUGAGGGGACCCGGCGGUGGCGGCCACGGCGGGACGGGCCGCCCACCAGUUGAACUCCGACAGCUGAGGCGGCUGAGGAGGUAUCCGCGGCCCCACCACCGAGGGGAGGGGGACACCACUGAGCGCGGGGCUUACAGCGAGAGCCCGGGCUUUCCUGGCUCUCGCUUUCGCCCUCGCCCUCCCCGCUGCUGAGUGGGCUCCGGAGGUGAUUCCCGAGACCCGCGUACGCCUGCAGAGACGGAGGUGUGGACUGCCGUGGACGAGAACGGGGCUCCGCCUGCCAGAAGCGCAGCGAUGAUGAGGCAGGAGGGCUAGUGCUGUCGGAUCUUCCCCGGGUGAUGAGCGGGUCCUGGGAAGUCAGGCGUUGAGGCUGUCACCUGCCAGCUGCUGGUUGUGGUGAUCCUGAGACAGGUUCUGCCCCAAGUACCAUUUUAAAGGGCUCUGUUUCAGGUUUUGGGCCAACUCCUCUAAAGUACCUAUUUUAGAGAAGUCAUUUUGUGUUUGAUAUUCUUAUAUAUUAAUAAGAACCGAAGGGCAACAAUGGGAUUUAAAAUGAGUGACAAAUUGUAGACAUGAUUUUUCAAAACUCAUUUUCUUCAAAAACCAUACACAGGCUACUAUGCAACGGUUAGUAAAAUACAGUUUGCCUAAUGAGGCUUCACUUUAAAAGACAAAUAUUCCUAGAGUGUAGAUGCUAACUCUCUGCCACCGUUAUAGGCGUUUUCUCUAUCAUUCUUAAAUAGGUCCAUUAAGUAAAAGAAACUUUUUAAAUAAGCAUUCCAGUAAUGUCAAUAGGUUUUGCCAGUUCCUAUGGUAACCCAUUUUCUCUAGUCCAAUUUUAUAAGAUGCAGAAAUGUCACGUUCUUUAACCGGCAUGAGUUGACGACACCCUUCCCCCCCACACACACACACACAAACAGCUGAAACCACAGUAGUUAAAAUAUUGUGACGUUUUUAACUGCUGAUUUCAAUGCUAGUGAUAGCGAACAAGUAAAAUUUAAGAUGGCCUGUAUUUAGGCUUCUUUAUUUUUCUAACUAUCCAAACUUAGAAGUAUAUGCAGAAUUUUGGAAAGACAUUUAGAAAAUUAUCUAGACAAGCCUACAUUCAGAGGACACAGAUACAACACCUUACUUUCACAAUCCAGAUCGUGGUUGUGACUUACAAUUUUUUCUUGGCUGACCAGGUGUGAAAGGUAUUGUAUUUUGGAGUGCUUACAUUCCAGUAGAGUCUAAGAACAUUACAUCAAUGUUUCUAGAAAAGACCGUUUUCAGUGUCAGUAAUUGAAGGAGUAGCU
rnacentral:lncRNA from 1 species